AUUGGACCUGAUAUCAGGCAAGAU
rnacentral:rRNA from 1 species